GAUGAACGCUGGCGGCGUGCCUAAUACAUGCAAGUCGAGCGAACAGACGAGGAGCUUGCUCCUCUGACGUUAGCGGCGGACGGGUGAGUAACACGUGGGUAACCUACCUAUAAGACUGGGAUAACUUCGGGAAACCGGAGCUAAUACCGGAUAAUAUAUUGAACCGCAUGGUUCAAUAGUGAAAGACGGUUUUGCUGUCACUUAUAGAUGGAUCCGCGCCGCAUUAGCUAGUUGGUAAGGUAACGGCUUACCAAGGCGACGAUGCGUAGCCGACCUGAGAGGGUGAUCGGCCACACUGGAACUGAGACACGGUCCAGACUCCUACGGGAGGCAGCAGUAGGGAAUCUUCCGCAAUGGGCGAAAGCCUGACGGAGCAACGCCGCGUGAGUGAUAAAGGUCUUCGGAUCGUAAAACUCUGUUAUUAGGGAAGAACAAAUGUGUAAGUAACUAUGCACGUCUUGACGGUACCUAAUCAGAAAGCCACGGCUAACUACGUG
rnacentral:rRNA from 1 species